GUCUUGAACUCCUGAGCUCAAGCCAUCCACCCACCUCAGCCUCCCAAAGUUCUGGGAUUAUAGGCGUGAGCCACUGUGUCUGGCCUCCAGUGGACCCUUUCUAUCACAAUUUAGCAUGUUCCAUUCUGUCUUAACAACAACAGCAUUUUUUAAAAUCCUCAUUGAAAAACAAAAUUCUUUUUUGAUUCCACUUUCCCCUUUCAGCAAACAUUUGGUAAGAUAGCACAAUGAAACUAUAAGCAUCUCACUUAUAGAUGAAUAUAGAUGCAAAUGUCCUAGAUAUAAACAGAUAAAAUUCAGUAGUUAGAGAAAGUACAGCCGGAUAAAACUACUUUAACAUAACUAAAUCUAUCAAUGUAAUUCAUUACUUGAAUCACUUAAAGAAGGGAACCUAUGCCAAAAAGUCAUCUGAUAAAAUUCAAUAGCUGUUCUGGGCUAGGUACAGUGGCUCACGCCUGUAAUCCCAGCACUUUGGGAGGCCAAGGCAGGCAGAUCAUGAGGUCAAGAGAUUAAGACCAUCCUGGCCAACAUGGUGAAACCCCGUUUCUAUUAAAAUUCAAAAAUCACCUGGGCAUGGUGGCACGCCCCUAUAGUCCCAGCUACUCGGGAAUCUGGGGCAGGAGAAUCGCUUGAACCUGGGAGGCGGAGGUUGCAGUGAGCCGAGAUCACACCACUGCACUUCAGCCUGGCAACAGAGGGAGAGACCCUGUCUCAAAAAAAAAAAAAAAAGCUGUUCUGAAUAAAAACUAAGUGGAUUAGUGAAAUGAGAGUAGAAAGAAAUUACUAUGAUGAUAAAGACAAUUUUUCAAAGCCAACAGCCAAUAUCAUACUACAUGGUGAAAGGCUGACACAUUCAGAUUAUCAGGAACAACACAAGAAUACCUUUUAUCACCACUAUUAUUCAGCAUUGCUUUGGAAGUCUUAGCUAAUGCAGUAAGCUGAAAAAAUGAAAUGAUGUAAACAUUUUAGAAGAAUUAUCUGUAUUUAUGGGUUAUAUAAUUGUACACCUUGAAAACUCGUGAGAUUCUCGUACAAGAAAUACUUGAAUUUAUAAUAGAAUUUGGGAAGCUAGCUGGAUAAAAAAGACAGAAAAAUAACAUUUUCUAUACUGACAAUAGCUAGUUUAAAAUGGAAAUGGAAGUUAUAUUCCCUUUCUACUUUAAUGAUACAACUAUAAAAAUACUUGGGAAUAAACUUAACAAAAGUGCAAGGUCCCUAAAAAAGAUUUUAUUGAUGUUAUAAAACGGAGUGUAAAUAAAUGGAGGGACAUGGCAAUUCUAGGAUAUUAAGACAAUUUUGGCCAGGUGCUGUGCUCACACCUGUAAUCCUAGCACUUUGUGGGGCCGAGGUGGGUGAAUUGCUUGAGAUCAGGAGUUCGAGACCAGCCUGGGCAAGAUGGUGAAACCCCAUCUCAACAAAAGAUGCAAAAAUUAGCUGGAUGUGGUGGUAUGCACCUGUAGUCCCAGCUACUUGGGGGACUGAGACAGGAAAAUCGCAUGAGCCCAGGAGGUUGAGGCUGCAGUGAGCUGUAUUCACGCAACUGCACUCCAGCCUGGGCAGCAAAGUGAGAAUCUGUCUCAAAAAAACCCCAACAAAAAAAGACAAUUUCAUUAAAAUGUCGAUCUUACUAAAUAAAAUUUCUGCUUAAUUAAUCAUUAAUCGUGUGUGUGUGUGUGUGUGUGUGUGUGUGUGUGUGUGUGUGUGUAAAACAUGAGGAGGGGGUGGGCAUGGUGGUUCAUGCCUAUAAUCCCAGCCUAGGCAACAUAGUGAGACCAUGUCUCUAUUUUUUUUUAAUUAAAAAAAAAAAAAAAAACCUCUUGUAAAAAUCAUUACAGAGAAAAAAAAAAAAAAAAGCAGAGCCAGGCAUGGUGUUGUGCACUUGUAAUCCCAGCUACUCGGGAGGCUGAGACAGGAGAAUCGUUUGAACCUGGGAGGCAGAGGUUGCAGUGAGCCAAGAUCGCACAACUGCACUACAGAGAAAACACCUGCCAUGUAUAGGAGAGAUAAUGGGCUAAUAUCCCUAAUAUACAGAAUAUUCUGAUUGCAUGAUGAGAAAAAAAUGAGUAAACGGUGUGAAGAAGCAAUUCACAGAGGAGAAAAUCCAAACAAAAGAGCACAUAACUCCACUAGUAAGCAAGGGAAAUGUAAAGACGGUGAUAAUGAGGUAUCAUUUUUCAAUCCCUCAAAUUAGAAAACAAAAAAUAAAAGUGCAUAUUCAUUAAGAACUUACAUGCCAUGUUCUGAGUAUUUAUGUGUAUUAGGUCAUUUACUCCUUAUUGGUGUGACCUUGAACAAAUCAAAUUCUCUGGGUCUCAGUUUCAUCACCCAUAAUUAUUUUUUAAAUUUGGAUAAGAAUAUCUGCUUUAUCUCCUUUGCACAAAUGUGGAAAGUGAGGCGCAGGUGAGUUGAACAUCGUCCGUAAGCCAACAGUUAAUAGAUGAUAGAACUAGUAUCCAAUGUCGAGCAGUCUAGCUCUAGAGCCCACACCCUAAACCACUGUGCUGUGUACCAUUGCUGGUAAGGAUAAAGGAGACUGGGCAGUUUUAUACCUUAUUAGGGUGUAAUGUGCUACAACCCUUUGGGAGAGGAAUUUGGCAAAAUCUCUUUAAAUCCCAAUCAGAAAGAAAUAAGAUUUGAGGAGUCUGAGAUCAGAUUAACCCUCAUGGCUUCAACUUAACUGUCAUUCAGGUUUGGAGAAGCAUGGUACAAGGAAGCAAAAAUAAAUAAAUACAGAAAUUAAGGAUGAGGAUUAUGUCUAUACAAGAACAUUGGAUGUAGUUACUGGUACAUGAAACUCACUGGAAACAAAUAGAUCAGAACCCAUCAAAUUUUUGAGGGGAUUUGAGAAAAUGGCCCUAAAACUGUUGAAGUCGAGUAAACUUAACUUGAGGCCCUUAAACUUACAUUUCAGAAAGUAAGAGGAGAAAGCUUUGUAGUCCCUAAGGAAGACACUCUCUUAAGGGGUCCAAGGAGAAUAAUGGAUAAGGGAGGACUUCCAGAGGGAGGAGCUGAGGAUGGGGUGAGGAUGGAAAACCAUGGAUAAGGGUUUCUUCCAGAGAGUAAAAUGACGACCUACCAGAGGAGGGCCUUCACAUCUGCACGGCUGGAUUUCAGAAUGCUGACCGCUGACUUCUAUGUGUCUCUCAUUCUUUCCCCUUCUACAGCGAAGUUCAUUGAGUCUCUGCUCCGCUAUUGUGUUUUUAAUAUUGGUAUGUGAGAGUGGGGGAAAUGACAAUAGACAACCAAAAAGUUCCUAGGUCACUAGACUUUGAGGAGCUAUAUCUAGCCCCGAUGGGGAAAAAUGAGCAUUACCUCAUAAUCCUGGUCUUUGAGCUGCCUGCAGUGACUAGCUUUGGUUUUCCUCUUUUGAGGUGGGACUCACUGUGUUCUGCGUGUGAGAGGAUGAAUGAAAUGGCUAUUUGGGGACCAGAAUGGUAGAGUGCGGUAGAGAAGAGACUUUCUAGCUCUUCACCAAAUCCCAUUUGUUUUUCUUUCUGGGCACCCUGCUAGAUAGAUUACAAUUUGCAGCCUCUUUUCUAGUUAGAUGUGGCCAUGUGCCUCUGGCCAGUGGAAUGUUUUUGCUCUUCCCUUGUUUGCUGUCUGUUUGGAAGUAAAUACCCUGGGUGGGCUGGCAACCAUAUGUUGAAGAUGACAGGCUCUCUCUGUGACUCUGUGGAGUGGAGUACUCUCCUUGCCCUAAGCAAGUGAUCUCAGAUGAUCAAGAAAUAAAUUUCUCAAUGUUAAGCCACUGAGGUUUCAGGGCUUUUCUGUUACAGCACCUAGUAUUACUGUAACAAAUACAACCUAGAAAGAUAUCUAUGAUAUAGUAAGUACAGUCUUCCCUUAAUAUACAUGGGGGAUUGGUUUUAGGAUGCGCCCCCUCCACCCCAUUCCAGUUUACAAAAAUCCACUCAUACCAAGUCUGGCUGUUGGCCCUGCAGAACCUGUGUAUAUGAAAAGUUGGCCCUCCCUAUAAGUAUGUUUUGCAACCUGCAAAUACUGUAUUUUCUUCCUUCCUUCCUUUCUUU
rnacentral:lncRNA from 1 species